rnacentral:rRNA from 1 species
UACGGGGGGGGCAAGCGUUGUUCGGAAUUACUGGGCGUAAAGGGCCCGUAGGCGGCCGACUAAGUCCGACGUGAAAUCCCCAGGCUUAACCUGGGAACUGCGUCGGAUACUGGUUGGCUUGAAUUCGGGAGAGGGAUGCAGAAUUCCAGGUGUAGCGGUGAAAUGCGUAGAUAUCUGGAGGAAUACCGGUGGCGAAGGCGGCAUCCUGGACCGACAUUGACGCUGAACGGCGAAAGCUAGGGGAGCAAACGGG